UGGUUGCAUGCACAGUCAGUUAUUUCAUCCAGAAAAUCUGAAGGCCCUUCAAACUAACCAGGAGUGGUAAGGAAGUGUCUCCAAUGUGAAAGGAGACUUCUGACAAGUCAGCGAAGCAAGCCUGUAUCGGAGAACUGCUCAGUGCAUUGUGAGGGGUGAAUUCAAGAGAGAAGGAUCAACAAGGAAAGCAGAUAGUGCCUCCUGGAAAAAAUCAAUCUUAAACAACAGGUGCAUAUAGAGGAAAUGACACUUCAGAUUCCCUGGGAUGCUGGAACCACAUGCAAAAAAGGAUGGGCAAAUUUGUCAUUCAGAAUUUAUGAAGGAUAUUUUUUCUUCUCACUGACUAAAAAGAACAAAUCAAACACUAGGUUUCCAAUUCUGAAAAUUAGUAGACUCUGGAGAGCCAAUUAAACAUUAUUCCCCUAUCUCGACUCUGUUUUAACAUCCUUCUUUAUUGCACACUGUUUCUUUCGCUCGCAAGGCAGGUAGAUGGUGUUAUCAGGCUAAUUUGGGGACAGUUAUCAUUAUAAUGUAAUUUUUUGCAAUUAUGUGGUAGACCAGGUGGCAAGACAGCAUGGCUUUGCAUUGCCAAGGUGCAAAACAAAUUCAGUGUUCAAUCAACCUGAGAGAGAAAGGACAAUUCUCAUUUGCAUAAACAUGUAGCCACGGAAACGAGAUGCACAGAGGUAUAAGGGGAAAGAGACCUAUUUUACAUGAUGUGCAUAGAAUAUUUGACAGUUUAGAUUGGAGGCGUCAUUGAUGUGGGUUGGAAUGGCACGGUUGGUUGCCAUGGAUAUGGUUUUCCCUACUGGCAGUGCAGAGAUUGGCAGGGAUGGAUGCUGGAAAAAAAAAAAAAGCCCAAAGCACUGCAAUACUCUGGCAGCCUCAUUCUUUUCUUUUGUUGAAAAGCUAUGUAUCCUUUCU